GCCAGAGGACAGAGCCUCAUCUCUACAGGACCUGAUUACCACCAACGAGGCUCAGACUAAGCUGUGGGCUCAGACUCUCAACCAAAAGAGCAGCCACGUAGAGGAGGCAGUGAAGGAACUGACUUUAAUCUUCAGUGCUAUUUAUGAGCCAAAAGAAAGCAAAGACCCGGCUGAGAAACCUAAAGGACACAAACGUGUUGCAUUCUCAGAAGAUCUGGGCUCAUCAAACGAUAAAGACAGGUUCAAGGCAGAAGCCCGUGAAGCUGAUAAAGACGAAGACUUUAAAAACGAGUGCAGAGAACUGUAUGCUCACUUCAGCGCAAAACUUCUGGACGCUUUGGUGAAGGCCACAUGUUUGUCUCUGGACACGUUAAAAAGAAGAUUGUUUAUUUCCAGCUCAUCUGGCGGCCAUCCCAGUGUCUCAGAUGAGGUGAUAACUUUAAUAAAAUCUGAGAUCCACCUGACCAUACCCAAUGUGGUAAGUGUUUAUAUUACUAAUGCUUUACUCUGUGCUGUUACUGAAUCUUGGAACCAUAAGCACAUUGAGAGUUCUGUGUUCUGAUGAAGGUGAUGAUACCGAGUCUUGAUAAGAUCCAGCAAGCAAUCAUUCACCUGGUGCAUCUGGUGCUGGAGGUGAGCCGCGGCGUGGCAUGCUGGAAACAGGAUUGCCGCUCAGACGACGUUGGAAAGUCUGGAUGUAAGAGGCGGCAUUAACAAUCAUUAAGAAUCUUCCACGGUUUCCCUUCAGCUUGAUGCAUUUGGAGUUGUUUUGUUUCCUGCAAAAAACAGAAAGACAUAUUCUGUACUGUAAAGUCCGGAAGCGUAUUGCUGCCACACAGAUGAAAAGAAAUGUCAGUAUGUUGUUAUAAAGAGAAUCAAAUUUUACUUCAUGCUUUUUUUACUUCAUGAGUUUUGGUGUCACUGAGCAGCACAGAUGAUAUUUUUAUCACUAUUUAAACACUGCGAAGGAUUCUUAAAUCUUAGUCUUUAUAUAGACGUAAAAACCGCUCACAUAUCUUAGACAUGCACUAUUCCUAAUGGAGAAUCUUGAUCGGCACAGCAAGCUACAAGGUUACAAGCUACAGCAUCUUAAAUGUCUUCAAGCUGGGUUCGGCUACGCAGCAUUUAAGGAAAUGAACUUUUCUCGUUAUUACGACAUACUGACGGCUUUUUUUUCAUCUGUGUGGCAGCAUGGGCACCAGGUGUAAACCAAAGUAUAAUGUACACGCCUUUGUUAAUAUGUUUUUAAUUGGUUCUAAUCGAUUAUAAAGGCUAACACAGCUUUUUAAAGCACUAAGGCUGUGAAUGUUAAAUA